CUAGGGAAUACAUGAAGAGUUUGGGGUCUUCUGUCAUUGAAAUAAUCAAAGCCAAGAAUAAGCGUGAAAUGUUGGAGCAAAAAAUGGACGACCUACUGAGUCAUCAGAGACAAUUUGUCGAAAAUAAUCGUCGGUCCUUAGAACAGAAAAUAAAAGAAAAGGAAAAGUCUUCUACAUUUCUAAGAAGUGUUUCAUCAGCUACAUGACUUACUGACAGGGA